UCAUACGAUUCUUGACGUACCCGAACGAUGUCGUAUUAGCGGCCCUUUUCAGAGCAACAUCCAACACCGCCAAAGUAUGACUGUCCUCAUAUAGGGUACUAUGACGACCUCAAGUCAAAGGAUCAAUCCCACUACCGAACGUUAGAGAUUAGCCACUGACACUCAGAUAGUUAUCCAUGUGGAAUCUCUUAGCGGGUCUCCAAUGUUUUGUUCUACAACAAAACAUCCACAUGUUCAUUUAAGUGUCACCACACUUUAGCUCGUGAGAUCAGCUACUUACUUCAUAAGUAAGAAAUGCC
rnacentral:lncRNA from 1 species